CCGGAAGUGACGCGCGCUCGCCCUUGAGGCGCCGCGGGGGGCGCGGGGUGGGCCCUGUCCGUUCUGUUCGCGGGCUCCGCUCGCUGUCACCCCCGGGGCCGGAGCAGGCGGGGAGCCGGGGCCGUGCGCGUGUGGGUGUCGCGGAGGCCGCCCAUGGCAGCCAGGCAGCUUGUGCUGGCCUGGUAGCCCCCACAGCUAACGAGAGUGGUGAGGGGCUGGCGGCGCUAGAAGCGGGGCGCUGUCAGGGUUAACACGUGGGGGCAUUUGGUGAGGCUACGUGCCUUCUACCGCUUUGUCAUGCACUAAGAGUUGCAUCAGAGGAGCUCUGGAUGAAACGGGCCGGAAAAGUUAAUUGCGAAGAUGCUUUGCACUGUAAACACGGUGUGGCCAUCAGCUGUUCAGGACCGCUGCCUCCCAAAACCCAUUAACUAGUACACUUAGAGCAAAUCCUUAAAUGGAUGAUUAAUCCAGAUCACCUACUGCAUAGCGAUGAAAAUCUGUAUUUCAUGACUAAGCUGUGUCACUCCCAGUGCUCAGUAGGUACCAGUGUCCUGGUUUUGGCUGGGAUGGAGUUAAUUCCUCAAUAGCUAGGACAGUGCUGAGUUUUGCAUUCAGAAUAAAAAACCUGAUGUUCUGAGUUUUGCUAAGUUGCGUUUAUCCUGAAUCAAGGACUUUUUAGUUGUGUCUCAUCUUCUGCCGCUGAGAACGAAAAAACAUCUUGGGAGGGUGCACAGCCAUGAGAGCUGACCUGAACUGACCAGAGGGAUAUUCCAUACCAUAAGAACAUCAUGCCCAGUAUAACUGUGGGGAGCUACUUGCAAGUGAGGCCGAUCUGCAUUCAGGAAGGGAAUCUGGCAUUGGUCAGCGUGGGAAAACCAAUUUACCCAAGGAAGUUUUGCUGCUUGCAUCAUUAUAGUGGCACAGAUGCUAUUUGACUGUGAAGUCUCUCUCUGGAAAUCCUUAUUCCACGAUAAUGCCGUUCCAGUCAGAGAUUCAGCGUGCUUGGAAGAGGCUGAGAAAGCAGCUCAGUCUCUUAACGAGAAGGGGAGCCUCAGCAAUUACUUUGUAUCCUGUAGAGGCAUUCCACUGUUCUGUAUCCCAGACUUGGUGCCUUCAUCUCUCAGCUUCUCUUCCCUCCCUCCUUCCCUUAGCUCACGUAUCACCAUUUUCUGUCUGGUAAUAGGACUUGAUGGACCCAGAUGAUUUUGGCUGUGGAAAUAUAACCUAUGAGCUCUUGAUCUCUCUGACAGAAGAGCCUGCUUGUUGCACAUUGUACCCUACUGAUCUGUGGUAACCCAUGACUGCUUGGAAAAAUCUUCCUUCAGUUAAAUGAUGAAGAGAAAACCUUGGCAGUUUUUCUGUCACUCUGUGAAGUGAACAAGUCUGACUUACAGUUUCAAAUAAAGACCUAUUUAAAUACUGC